rnacentral:misc_RNA from 1 species
GAUGAAGAACGUAGCGAAAUGCGAUACUUGGUGUGAAUUGCAGAAUCCCGUGAACCAUCGAGUCUUUGAACGCAAGUUGCGCCCGAAGCCAUUAGGCCGAGGGCACGCCUGCCUGGGCGUCACACGUCGUUGCCCCCCCAUCUACUCCUUCGGGAUUGCGGGGGGCGGAUGAUGGCCUCCCGUGCGCCUCGUCGCGCGGUUGGCAUAAAUGCCAAGUCCUCGGCGACGCACGCCACGACAAUCGGUGGUUGCGAAACCUCGGUUGCCCGUCGUGUGCGGUCGUCGCGCAUCGAGGGCUCGAAAAAAUUGCCGGGCUCCGGCUCGGCUUUCAACGCGACCCCAGGUCAGGCGGGGUUACCCGCUGAAUCUAAGCAUAUCAAUAAGCGGAGGA